rnacentral:rRNA from 1 species
CCGCAUGGGGAUAUUUGCUAAAGAUUCAUCGCUGAUAGAUAGGCAUGCGUUCCAUUAGGCAGUUGGCGGGGUAACGGCCCACCAAACCGACGAUGGAUAGGGGUUCUGAGAGGAAGGUCCCCCACAUUGGUACUGAGACACGGACCAAACUCCUACGGGAGGCAGCAGUGAGGAAUAUUGGUCAAUGGGCGUAAGCCUGAACCAGCCAAGUCGCGUGAGGGAUGAAGGUUCUAUGGAUCGUAAACCUCUUUUAUAAGGGAAUAAAGUGCGGGACGUGUCCCGUUUUGUAUGUACCUUAUGAAUAAGGAUCGGCUAACUCCGUGCCAGCAGCCGCGGUAAUACGGAGGAUCCGAGCGUUAUCCGGAUUUAUUGGGUUUAAAGGGUGCGUAGGCGGCCUUUUAAGUCAGCGGUGAAAGUCUGUGGCUCAACCAUAGAAUUGCCGUUGAAACUGGGAGGCUUGAGUAUGUUUGAGGCAGGCGGAAUGCGUGGUGUAGCGGUGAAAUGCUUAGAUAUCACGCAGAACCCCGAUUGCGAAGGCAGCCUGCCAAGCCAUGACUGACGCUGAUGCACGAAAGCGUGGGGAUCAAACAGGAUUAGAUACCCUGGUAGUCCACGCAGUAAACGAUGAUCACUAGCUGUUUGCGAUACAGUGUAAGCGGC